GGGGCCGAUUAGGAUUCGACGCCGGUAGCGAAACUCUAGGUGCAUGCCGAGUUGGUAACAGAACUCGUAAAUCCACUGUUGCAACUUUCUAUAGUUGCCAAUGACAAUACCUUCGGCUUGGAGAAAGAAGUCGCUUUCGCGGCUUAAUCUGAUCCAUAGCUUCUGGUAGCUUCGGCUCCAGCAAUCAUCAGGGGAUGCCUGUAAACCCGAAAUGAUUGUCAUACAGAACAGGAUCGUCGUGCAGCACGUUGGGGGCGAAGCGACUAAAACUUACCCAACUCAUCCAAAGCACCCUGCCCGUCGGGCGGCUGCGGAUUAAAUCAGUAGACACGGCUAAGCAUGUAGUACCGACAGCGGAGUACUGGCGGACGGGGGUUCAAAUCCCCCCGGCUCCACCA
rnacentral:tmRNA from 1 species